GCUCCGGUAGUGUAGUCCGGUCAAUCAUUCCAGCCUUUCGAGCUGAAAACUCGGGUUCGAAUCCCGGCCGGAGCACCA
rnacentral:tRNA from 1 species